UCUGAAUUUAUCCAAUGAUAUUAUGAAAAAGAAAUGAGAGGUACUUGAAAUUAUUCCCGAGCUUCUGGAUAUGUUGAGAAAUGAGGGUUACACUAUGACAGAAGUAGAGGAAACCAUCUUUCUUCCUGGCUUGGUUGAGAAGGUUUAAUCCAGCUGAACAAAGUGGGGACUUAUCAAGACCCGUUGGCAUCCCAACAUUCAAUCAUUAUAGACUACCAAUGCCGCAGGCUUAGUCUGCUGUUGGGCUAAAAUCAUAGAAUAUGGUUCUCCUGAACAGGGUAGGGGGUAAAGAUGAGGAAUAUUUUUCAAUGGAAUGCUUUUUUCAGAAGAUUAGGCUGAUGAAGGCAUGAAAGCUAACAGAUAUGAGUUUGGAAGAGAUUUGGAGCAGAUUAGGAUCCCUUAUUGAUUCAGAGACGAUUACUCAACUAAAAAGUGUUGUGUGGAAAGAGCGGCUUGAAGGUGAUGAUAUUUGGAUAUAUGUCAGGAAGCUCCGAGGGAGAACUAUGGCGUUUCUGAAAUCCACACAGAUAGACUACCAAUGCCGCAGACUUAGUCUGGUGUUGGGCUCACAGACUGGAAUGAAGCUUUAAAAAUCAUAGAAUAUGGUUCUCCUGAACAGGGUAGGGGGUAAUGAUGAGGAAUAUUUUUCAAUGGAAUGCUUUUCGGAAGAUUAGGCUGUUGAAGGGAUGAAAGGUGUGCUAUGAAUUGCAAAUGCUGAUCCCAAGAGAUGUUUAGGUGCUGCAUCUAGAAAUCUAAAUUUUUUACAUAACUUCUUUGUUGUUACCGACUACUUGGACUACUGAGAAGGUCCUGCAACAAGUUAUUUAUAUUGUCACCCAUAUUGCUGCGACAGCAUCAAAGUUUCCUAAAGAAUGUGUUGUGCUUUCCUUUCAGGUAUAACUCAAAGAGGAGCCGACAUAAAGACUCGUGCUCAGGCCAUGAAGUGUGUUUAACAUCAAACAUCUAAACCCCUCAAAAGUUGUCUUAUUAUUAUUUUUUUGCAUUUUUAUUUAUCGUGUGCAUAAUGAGUGUAGUAUGUGCCACCUAAGUGUAGUGUAUCUAGUGUGUUUAUAGUUUGUGGAGUGUGUAUAUUUUUGUAUAGUGCGUAUAUGUUUGUAAAGUGUUUGUAGUGUGUAUGUUUGCUGUAGUGUGAUUGUAUUGUGUGUGUAACAUAGUGUCUGGAUUUUGCAUGUGCAUAGUGCAUGUGCAUUGUGCAUGUGCAUGUGCAUGUGCAUGUGCAUGUGCAUGUGCAUUUAGUCACGUUUGUUUUGUGUAGAGUAUGAAUUGUAUGUAUUUUGUUUAUAUAUUU